rnacentral:rRNA from 1 species
GGUUUCUAGGGCCGAAGUAAUGAUUAAGAGGGACAGUUGGGGGCAUUCGUAUUUAAUUGUCAGAGGUGAAAUUCUCGGAUUUAUGAAAGACGAACAACUGCGAAAGCAUUUGCCAAGGAUGUUUUCAUUAAUCAAGAACGAAAGUUAGGGGUUCGAAGACGAUCAGAUACCGUCGUAGUCCUAACCAUAAACUAUGCCGACUAGGGAUCGGUGGAUGUUAGCGUUUGACUCCAUCGGCACCUUAUGAGAAAUCAAAGUCUUUGGGUUCCGGGGGGAGUAUGGUCGCAAGGCUGAAACUUAAAGGAAUUGACGGAAGGGCACCACCAGGAGUGGAGCCUGCGGCUUAAUUUGACUCAACACGGAAUCACCAUGCCCAAAC